UAAGGAAUCUUCCACAAUGGGCGAAAGCCUGAUGGAGCAACACCGCGUGAAGGAUGAAGGCCCUCGGGUCGUAAACUUCUUUUAUAAGUGAAGAAUAUGACGGUAACUUAUGAAUAAGGGUCGGCUAACUACGUGCCAGCAGCCGCGGUCAUACGUAGGACCCAAGCGUUAUCCGGAGUGACUGGGCGUAAAGAGUUGCGUAGGCGGCUUAGUAAGUGGAUAGUGAAAUCUGGUGGCUCAACCAUUCAGACUAUUAUCCAAACUGCUAAGCUCGAGAAUGGUAGAGGUGGCUGGAAUUUCCUGUGUAGGAGUGAAAUCCGUAGAUAUAGGAAGGAACACCAAUGGCGUAGGCAGGCCACUGGACCAUUUCUGACGCUGAGGCACGAAAGCGUGGGGAGCGAACC
rnacentral:rRNA from 1 species